rnacentral:lncRNA from 1 species
UUUUAAAGGCAUAUUACAUAAAAAGAAGCAAUUUGGAGCCUUUUGGAGCAAAAUGGAGAUUGGAUUGGAUAUCACAUAUUUGGGGCCAAGGGUUUGGACGAAAAUGAAGAUUUGAAGAUGAUGAUUCCUACUUGAGCAAGGAUUCCUAGUUGAAGUAGGAAAGAGCCAAAUUGAAGAUGAAAUCCUAGUCCAAGAAGGUGUCCUAAUUAAUCAAGGAUUCCUAGUUGAAGAUGGAUUCCUAGACGAAUGAAGUUUCCUACUCAAACAAGGUUUCCUACUUGAAGUGGGAAAGUGAACCCUAAUUGGCCUUGAUUUUCAGCAACAAAGAAGUAUGCCGUGCAUUUUCCCUUGUUUUGGAGGGUUUCUAGAAACCCUAUCCUUCCUUGCCGUGCAUAACCUUAUCUAGAACCUAUUUCCUUGCCUGCAAGGCUUUCUAGAAGCCUUAUCUUACCUUAUCUAAACCUGCCGCACCUAGGAGGUCUUUUCCCCUUUUAAAUCUGAUUUUUAAGCCUCUUUCCUUGUGGAUUUGGGUUAUUCAAGUCCAUAUCUGAUUUACCUAGGGUUUUUAAGUGCCUAUAAAUACUCAUAAACCCCCUUGGCCGAAUUCACCACCUCUCACAUUCAUAAUUCACUCCACAAAAUCAGAAAUUUGCCCAAACCUCUCCACACCUUUGCCGCAGCCACCAAACACCCUUCUUCCUAGUUUUUAAGUUCUUGCCGCACCAUCCCCUUCCCCUAAACACUACUACAUCCUUCCAUAACCAUUCAUCCAUACACCUAAGGCCCUAAACCUGUCUUCUAAGUACUUUGCCGCACCAAGGAGGAGGAGAAGGAAGCUUGGAAGUUCAUGCAAUUCAAGUUCGCGUCGCUGGAAUUUCUAGGUGUUUCUUUUCCUUUGAUUUCAAUGUUUAAAUUCAAUUCUCUUUGUUUUGUGUGUAUGAGGAACUAAACCCCCCCUUGGCUAGGGGGGGAUUCGAAAUACAUGAUUAUGCUUGCGAUAUGAUUUGAUUACUUCUAAUUGCGUUUCAUAAGUCGUGGAUUCAAUUUACUUAUCUUUAUGAAUUAAAACUUGAUUUGUGUAUGUUGGUUGAGAGUGCACGCUUAAUUUUCAUGCAUGAAUUUGAAUGCUAGGAUAUAAGGAAAUUUCACCUAAUCGUUAUGGAACUUAUAUUCACAAGUAGUAAAGGUUGAUGAUCUCAAUCGCGUUAAGUAAAUUCUUGGCAUAAGUUUCAUGCAAUCAUAGUAACAAGUGCUUCGUCAAUGCUUAUGGUUUUCAUAGAACUUAAUGAUUCUUGCUUGUAUCUCUAUUAUGCAAUCAUGUAGGGACUUGUGGGGAAUGUUUUGGGUUGUCGUAUGCAAUCAUCCAAUUCAAUAACGUUAGGAAAAUCUGAAGGUUAAUUUAAGCGGACCUAAUUAACUUGGGGCGUUGAGAAUUCAUGGUUUAUUGAAAAGCAAUUGGAAAUCGUUUUGAAUGCAAGUAUAACAUGUGUGGAGAUGAACCCCUUAGCUAGCCUUCCAUUCCAUUCCAUUUAAAUCAAAUUCGUUUUUAAAAUCUGUUCUAAUUUACAAAGUUUUGUUUUUGUUUUCAAAUUCGUCCAAAACCAAUCCCCCUUUGUUUUUGAAGUGUCAAAUUAGUUAGUAAGUGUUUAGUUUGUGUUUUUAAGUGUUUUGAGUCAAGUUAAAACCUAAUUUUUCGUCCAAUUUGUGUCUAGUGUUCCAAAACUGCCCAGAUUGUGUUUUUAAGGCAGUUUUGAGUGUUUUGGUGCUGUUUUGAGUCUUUUGGUUUGUUUUGGUGUUUUAAAGUUUAGUUUUGCAUUCUUUGAGUCUAGUUUAGUGUUUUAAACUUGUUUUUACGUAUUUGAGUCAGUUUUCAAGUGAUUUUGCAAUCCCUCCUAAUCCCCGGCCUAGAACGAUCCCUACUUACAUACUUACUACAAUUGAUAAAAAGAGGGUUAAUUUGAGUGCUAGUAUAUUUUCACAUCAAAUUUUGGCGCCGUUGCCGGGGAUUAGCAAUUUGCUAAUCCCUUGGAUUGUUAUUUUUUUUCUUAUUUGAUCAGAUUCUUAUGUUAUUUUGUUUCUUGUUUUAGGUACUUGUUUAUGACUCGGAGUUCUAAUCCGGUUCACGAACAUAUUUUAGACUUUGACGACGAUUUUGAGCGUGAGUUGAGACGAAAGAGGAAGAACCCGGAACCUAGUGAAUCAAGUGCAAGUUCCGAGUCCGUUUCUGAAUUUGAAAGAGGAAGUGGAAGACAUGGCAGCGGACAACCGAACGAUCAAGGAGCUUUCCGCUUCGGGAUUGGAUAAUGCCGCACCUCUAUGUAUCCAAUACCCUAGGGCGGCUCCGGACAAAACUGCCGAGUUCGAAUUGAAGUCAAGCUUGUUACAUCACAUUCCGAAGUACCAUGGGCUGUCCAUGGAAGAUCCGAACAAGCACUUGAAGGAGUUUGAAGUCGUUUGCUCAAGCAUGACUCCGGUGAACGUGGAUGAGAGCAUCUUGAAGAUGAAGGCCUUUCCCUUUUCUCUCCUAGGAAAGGCGAAAGAUUGGUUGUACGAAUUGGCUCCCGGAACUGUCACAUCAUUGGGAAGAGCAUGAAACGAGCUUUCUUAGAGAAGUUUUUUCCCAACUUCUCGAGUCAUCCUCCUACGAAAAAGGAUAAGUGGCAAUUCAACAAGAUGAAGGUGAAUCCUUUCCUACUUAUUAUGAACGUUUUAAAUCUCUUGUUGCUUCAUGUCCACAGCAUCAAAUGAAGGAGGAGCUACUUCUACAAUACUUCUACGAGGGACUUCUACCAAUUGAACGUCAAAUGCUAGAUGCCUCAGCGGGAGGAGCAUUGGUGGACAAGACCCCUACGGCGGCAAAGAUGUUGAUUGCUAAUCGAGCGUUGAACGCUCAACAAUACGAAGGUGUUGGACAAAGGAGCAUGCCACGGCAACAUCAAGUCAAUGAGGUAAGUGCCAUAACCGAACUUCAAAUCAAAUGGCUAACCUUACUACGUUGCUUUCUCAGGUGGUGGAAGGUCCAAAAGUCAAAACCCUAGCUUCUUGUGGCGUAUGCUCCAUACAAAACCACCAUACGGAAAAAGUGCCCACAUUUAAUCGAGAAUGGAGGGUGGGAGACACUUAAUGCCGUGGGAUAUGGCAACCAAUACCAAUCACGUGGUGAUCCGUUUUCCAAUACUUACAAUCCCGGUUGGAGUGAUCAUCAGAAUUUCAAAUGGCGAGACCCCCAACAAGGCCAACAACAAAGCGGAUUUAGGCAACAACCCCCCGGUUUCUAUCAAAAGCCGUUGGCACCACCACAAGCCCAAGCACAACCUGCCCAAAGCAAUGCAGGUAAUUCAAGUGAUAAUGAUAAGAUUUUUCAAUUACUUACUACUUUGACGCAGGAAGUCCAAACUCAAAACAAAGAGAGGCAAAUCCAAGACAAGAGGGUGGACAACUUGGAGAAGCAAGUGGGACAAAUUGCCGAGUUCAUGGGGGCAAUUUCGUGAGCAAGGAAGGUUGCCUAGCUCAACGGUGGUAAAUCCGAGGGGGAGUUCGAAAUUGCCAAAGCUAUCACGCUAAGAAGUGGGAAAGAAGUAGGAACCGAGCCAAAACCAUCCAAAUCUUGCCCUCAAGGAGGAUGAGAAGUAGUUGCAAAUAGAAGAGGAGGAGCAAGCAAAGGCCACGGCAAGGAUUGAGCAAUCCUUGCCGCAACCACCCAAGCCAUCUAAUUCGGCCAAUAAGGGUAAGGAAGGUACAAUUCAAGUUAAUUCUAAUGUUAUUCCUUCGGAUGUACCAUUUCCUAGCAGAUUUUUGCAAGCCAAGAACGAAGAUGAGGAGAAAGACGUUCUCGAGACGUUUAGGAAGGUGCAAGUCAAUAUCCCACUCCUUGAUGCUAUAAAGCAAAUCCCGAAGUAUGCCAAGUUUUUGAAGAAGCUUUGUACAACAAGGAAACGGAUACAGGAGAAGGAGGUGGUACACGUAAGUGAGAAUGUAUCUGCAUUGUUGCAAAAGAAAGUUACCACCUAAAUGCAAAAGAUCCAGGGUAGUUUCACUAUCCCUUGUGUUAUUGGCAAUACGAGGUUUGAUCAUGCUAUGUUAGAUUUAGGUGCAUCUAUAAAUGUCAUGCCAUAUUCUGUUUAUGCAUCUAUGAAUCUAGGAAAGCUUAAAAAUGAUGGUGUUAUUAUUCAAUUAGCCGAUCGAUCUAAUGCAUAUCCCAAAGGAGUGUUGGAAGAUGUGUUGGUGCAGGUAGACCAUUUGAUUUUUCCUGCAGAUUUCUAUGUGCUUGAUAUGGAGGACUCAACCCACUCUCCACCAUCACCACUCUUGCUUGGACGACCAUUCAUGAAAACGGCUCAAACCAAGAUUGACGUGGCCAAGGGAGCAGUAACUAUGGCUUUUGGUGGUGAUAUGAUUAACUUUAAGAUUUCUGAAUCGGUAGAGAAUACUAAUGAUGUUCGUUCUUGUUGUGCUAUUAAUGUAAUUGAAAAUAUAGGGCAGGAAUGUUCAACACUAGUCAAGAAGAAUGUACCACAACCCACCAUCGAGGAAGGAAUUGGAGUGAACAACAAAGAGUGCACGGCCCCAACCUUGAAAUCAUCAAAUCUGCCCGAGUGCAACCCUUGUGCAUAUGUCCAUAGUGCUACCACUUCUUUGCCAUACAAAGGUAAGCCACCUAUUCCAAUUUCAAUUCCCAUUUCAACUAAUAGGUUGUUAACUUGUAUGGUACAGGUACCUAAUCGAAGACAACGUGGUGGGAGAGUUCAUGUUGAUUUAGAGAAGCAAAACAUGACAAUAAGAAAGGAUCAUUAUCCCAUCCCAUUCAAGGACCCAAAGAAUGAAGUAUUUCGUAGGACAGGUUGUGGAAAAACCCCUCCAUGCCGUGGGGUUCCAUAAACCUUCAAUGGAGCAUCGUCCGGCUGUACGAUGUUAAAGCAAGCGCUACUUGGGAGGCAACCCAUGCAUUCAACAAAGGAAGACCGAAGAGCACUCCAAUUCCAGAUUUGCGUUCCUAAACCCUUCUCUUUGUUGUUUAUUUCAUUCAUGCCAUGUUAGAUUGUUAGUUGCUAUUUUGUGGUUUGUUUGUUAAUUGUGUUAGUUUAUGCUUGAAACAUUGAGGACAAUGUUUGAUUUAAGUGUGGGGGGGUAACCAAAGUAUUUUAACCAAAGUAUUUUCUUGCAAAUUCGUAGGGUUUUCUCACUCAUGAUUUCUAAAUGUUGUUCCUUGCUGUUUUUAAGUGUUUUUAAGGUGUUUUGAUUCAAAAAUCCGAAAAUCCCAUAAAAAUUUGAAAAAAUUGAUUUUAAAAAACCCAAAAAGAGUUGUUUUUGUGUGUUUGCUUGUGUCUUAGGGUACCUUCCAACACAAUGAUGAGGAUUCGGUUUGUAAUUGCAUGAUUGUUAAAGAGAGUUAUAAACAUGGAUAAAAGUUUGAUUUACUCUUUGGUUUAUGCUUGGUUGUGGUUAUAACUUAUGCAUUCACAUGUAAUCAUAAGGAAAAAAAUUAGUUUUUGUAACAUGCUUGAAGGAAGGAACUCAAACAAACGCUACAACCUUGUGAGACUUGAGCCUAAACGUUUAUUUGGAGAGUUAAAAUCUGUGCAUUCUUGUUUUCUAAAGUCGUUGCAUGAUCUCAUUAUUCUUUGCUUGGUUACUACUUAGAAGGCGUUUCAUCAUUUAGUUCCAAAUGCACUAGAACUCAUGCCAAUUUCAUUCAAAACAUGUUAUUGAAUUGCAUAACACAUAUUCAAGAUGAAGUUGUUUAGUAGUUACCACCAUAGCCAAAAAGCCUUCAUUCCAUGCAUUUUUUUGUAGGUUUUUAACCCCGUUGAGCCUUGUUUAGCCUAUGUUGUUUGUUAACCCACAUUAUCCUUACCUAGCCUAGAUUAGGACCAUCCAUACCUUUGUUCUUGAAGCAUAGUAAAGAAUGACUCAAAAUGAAUUCCUUUUGGUCAUUAUUGGCAGAAAACAAGUGUGGGGGAAGUGAGUUUUUGUUUGUGGGUGUGCCAAAGUCUUGAAUGAGGCACGAAAAGAAAAAAAAAAAAUGAAAUUCGUGGAAAAAGAAAAAGAAAAGAAAAAUGUGAAAAGUAUGAAAAAAAAGAGUUGAAAAGAUGUGAAAAAAAGAGUUCUAAAGUGUUGAUUGUUGAAGAAAAGGUCCAAAAAGUUGAAUUCGGCCCUAAUUGUUGUUGAAUCUUCCCUUUGUGUUUAAAAGUUAAUUUCUGCAUGCUAAUGGGAAUUCUAUGAGUUUCGAUUUCAUUGUUUUGCUUACUAUUGCUUUAAGAACGUUUGUUUUCCCUAUCCUUUCGUUGUUAGCCAACUCCCCUAAGCCCCGUUACAACCCUUGACUUCUAAUCUUGAGUGUUGUGUGUUUCAAUUUGUGGAGUUUGAAUUUGGUAUGAGCAUAUGGUGUCACUGGUUCUCGCAUCUAAGUAGUAGCAUUCCAUUCAUGAGAUCAUAUCUAAACAUGUUAUUUAACUCCGGAAAAUUGCUUUCUUUGUUAUACAUAUAUGUGAGCAUUCGUUUUCAUAUUUACAUCAAUCUUCUCACAUAUAACUAGUAUAGGGUGUGUAGUUAGAAAAUCUGAGUGAAAAUUGAGUGCAUAUCUUGUAAGGAAUUGAGCAAAUUUCUCUAAGGCAUGUUACUACAUUCAAAAUCAUGUUUUAAUUGGUUAAAUGUGAACUAGUAAGUGGUGACUAUGAUUAAGUAUGUGCUUAAGUGUGAAAGAUGACUAAAAUCUGUGGGAAUGAUGAUUUUUAACAUGUCAUGUGCAUUGGAAAUCCCUGAGGCGAAAUGUUGGAAGGUUUAGGUUGUGUUUUACUUGUUUUUUGCUUCGUUUGUUUCUUUGUUUCGUUUUGUUUUGCUCGAGGACUAGCAAAAAGCUAAGUGUGGGGGAAUUUGAUAGGAGCAUAUUUAUGCGCCUUAGUUUAGCUUGUUCUUGUGCAUUUAUAGUGUUUUUCCUUAGUAAAGUAGUCUUUAAGCUAGUUUCGUGUGUUUUCAGGUUUUAAAGGCAAAGUACAAAAAAGAUGCAAUUUGGAGCCUUUUGGAGCAAAAUGGAGCUUGGAAUGGAUGUCACAUAUUUGGAACCAAGGGUUGGACGAAAAUGAAGAUUUGAAGAGAUGAUUUCCUACUUGAGCAAGGAUUCCUAGUUUGAAGUAGGAAAGAGCCAAAUUGAAGAUGAAAUCCUAGUCCAAGAAGGUGUCCUAAUCAAUCAAGGAUUCCUAGUUGAAGAUGGAUUCCUAGACGAAUGAAGUUUCCUACUCAAACAAGGUUUCCUACUUGAAGUGGGAAAGUGAACCCCUAAUUGGCCUUGAUUUUCAGCAACAAAGAAAGUAUUGCGUGCAUUUUCCCCUUGUUUUGGAGGUUUCUAGAAACCCUAAUCCUUCCUUGCCGUGCUAAACCUUAUCUAGAACCUAUUUCCUUGCCUUGCAAGGCUUUCUAGAAGCCUUAUCUUACCUUAUCUAAACCUGCCGCACCUA